ACUCCUACGGGAGGCAGCAGUGAGGAAUAUUGGACAAUGGGCGCAAGCCUGAUCCAGCCAUGCCGCGUGAGCGAUGAAGGCCUUAGGGUUGUAAAGCUCUUUCGCUAGGGAAGAUAAUGACGGUACCUAGUAAAGAAACCCGGCUAACUCCGUGCCAGCAGCCGCGGUAAUACGGAGGGGUUAGCGUUGUUCGGAAUUACUGGGCGUAAAGCGCACGUAGGCGGACUAUUAAGUCAGAGGUGAAAUCCCGGGGCUCAACCCCGGAACUGCCUUUGAUACUGGUAGUCUAGAGGUCGAGAGAGGUGAGUGGAAUUCCAAGUGUAGAGGUGAAAUUCGUAGAUAUUUGGAGGAACACCAGUGGCGAAGGCGGCUCACUGGCUCGAUACUGACGCUGAGGUGCGAAAGUGUGGGGAGCAAACAGGAUUAGAUACCCUGGUAGGCUCUGC
rnacentral:rRNA from 1 species